rnacentral:rRNA from 1 species
GUGCCAGCCGCCGCGGUAAUACGUAGGGUGCAAGCGUUGUCCGGAAUUAUUGGGCGUAAAGAGCUCGUAGGCGGUUUGUCGCGUCUGCUGUGAAAACCCGAGGCUCAACCUCGGGCCUGCAGUGGGUACGGGCAGACUAGAGUGCGGUAGGGGAGAUUGGAAUUCCUGGUGUAGCGGUGGAAUGCGCAGAUAUCAGGAGGAACACCAAUGGCGAAGGCAGAUCUCUGGGCCGUAACUGACGCUGAGGAGCGAAAGCAUGGGGAGCGAACAGGAUUAGAAACCCGGGUAGUCC